rnacentral:lncRNA from 1 species
GCCUCUGUUUUCCCAUCUAGCAAAAGGGCUCCAUCAGUGGUUUUCAAACUGUGCUCCAAGGCACCCUGGGGCCAAGAAGAGUUUGCAACCACCCUGAAGAGAGGAUGUCCCCAAGGUCCUCUUGGGACCCCACCCACCUCCCUGCCUCCCCUUCAGUCCUGGUCCACCCCUGAAAGGCAGGAUGUGGCUGCCAAAGGUAGG